AACACUGACCCUAGCAAGAGAAGUGCUUA
rnacentral:sRNA from 1 species